UCUAUCCCAUUCUGGACGUGUCUAAUAUCAUCUGAUUUCAGAAGCUAAUUAGAGUUGGGCCUUGUGAGGACUUAGGUGUAAGACAAAGGGUAAGGA
rnacentral:rRNA from 1 species